AGCUUUGCGCAGUGGCAGUAUCGUAGCCAAUGAGGUUUAUCCGAGGCGCGAUUAUUGCUAAUUGUAUAAAACAACAUCCUGUUAGAUAUUAAUAUGAGUGUCCAUAUUCCUACUAUUUUUAGGAUAUUCUUCAAUGGC